rnacentral:rRNA from 1 species
UACAGAGGGUGCGAGCGUUGUCCGGAAUCACUGGGCGUAAAGGGCGCGUAGGCGGCCUGAUAAGUAGGGGGUGAAAUCUUGCGGCUCAACCGCAAGGCUGCCUUCUAAACUGUCAGGCUGGAGCACGGUAGAGGCAGAUGGAAUUCCCGGUGUAGCGGUGGAAUGCGUAGAGAUCGGGAAGAACAUCAGUGGCGAAGGCGGCCUGCUGGGCUGUUGCUGACGCUGAGGCGCGACAGCGUGGGGAGCAAACAGG